rnacentral:rRNA from 1 species
UACGUAGGGGGCAAGCGUUGUCCGGAUUUAUUGGGCGUAAAGAGCGUGUAGGCGGCCAUGCAGGUCCGUUGUGAACACUCGAGGCUCAACCUCGAGACGCCGAUGGAAACCGUAUGGCUAGAGUCCGGAAGAGGAGAGUGGAAUUCCUGGUGUAGCGGUGAAAUGCGCAGAUAUCAGGAAGAACACCCGUGGCUAAGGCGGCUCUCUAGUACGGUACUGACGCUGAGACGCGAAAGCGUGGGGAGCGAACAGG